CGCUUGCAGGAUGACAAGUCUGCUGGGAUUCCAUCCAGGAACAUGUAAGGAGGGGCGAACUAGCCCUGACUGCUGGAACAGACUCACCCAGGAAAAGUGGAAAAGAAUCCCACCCUGUCAUUCUCUCUUUCGAGACCUUUCCAUAUAUCCUGACUCCCAGAAGUCAUGAAGAAGCCUUGUGCCAAUCAUCAACCCUGUCAAGUAAGGAAAAGUUGGGAUUUUUAGAGUAGAUAGCCAGACACCUACCAUGAAAACUCCUGUGAACUUGCACCUCCCAAAACACCUUUGCUCUAGCCCCAA
rnacentral:lncRNA from 1 species